rnacentral:tRNA from 1 species
AGAAAUUUAAGUUAACACCAAACUAAGGGCCUUCAAAGCCCUAAAUAGAGAAUARACCCCCCUAAUUUCUG